rnacentral:rRNA from 1 species
UUCCUGGCUCAAGGAUUGAACUCUAGGUACCAGGUUAACACCUGCAAGUCGCGGGGCACCAUUCACUUUAACUUGUAGGUGAGAUGGCGACCGGCGCACGGGUGAGUAACGCGUUUCCAACCUCCCCUUGUCCACGGGAUAACCCGGGAAAAACCGGCCUAAAUACCGUAUGAGGUUCACAAGCGGACAUCCAACUGUGACGAAAGGUUUAGCGGACAAGGAUGGGGAUGCGUCCGAUUAGCUUGACGGCGGGGUAACGGCCCACCGUGGCUACGAUCGGUAGGGGUUCUGAGAGGAAGGUCCCCCACAUUGGAACUGAGACACGGUCCAAACUCGUACGGGAGGCAGCAGUGAGGAAUAUUGGUCAAUGGACGAGAGUCUGAACCAGCCAAGUAGCGUGCAGGAUGACGGCCCUAUGGGUUGUAAACUGCUUUUGUGCGGGGAUAAAGUGUGGGACGUGUCCCAUAUUGCAGGUACCGCAUGAAUAAGGACCGGCUAAUUCCGUGCCAGCAGCCGCGGUAAUACGGAAGGUCCGGGCGUUAUCCGGAUUUAUUGGGUUUAAAGGGAGCGUAGGCCGGAGAUUAAGCGUGUUGUGAAAUGCCGCGGCUCAACCGUGGCACUGCAGCGCGAACUGGUUUUCUUGAGUGCGCGCGACGCAGGCGGAAUUCGUGGUGUAGCGGUGAAAUGCUUAGAUAUCACGAGGAACCCCGAUUGCGAAGGCAGCUUGCGGGAGCGCAACUGACGCUGAAGCUCGAAGGUGCGGGUAUCGAACAGGAUUAGAUACCCUGGUAGUCCGCACGGUAAACGAUGGAUGCCCGCUGCUCCGUUCUAUGAUGGAGUGCCCAAGCGAAAG